UACGGGGGUGGCAAGCGUUACUCGGAAUCAUUGGGUGUAAAGGGCAGGUAGGCGGCUUAUUAAGUGAGGGGUGAAAUUCCGCAACUCAAUUGCGGAACUGCCUUUCAAACUGGUAGGCUUGAGGACGGAAGAGGAAAACGGAAUUAGCAGUGUAAGGGUGAAAUCUGUAGAUAUUGCUAAGAACAUCAACGGCGUAAGCAGUUUUCUGGUCCGUUUCUGACGCUGAACUGCGAAAGCUAGGGGAGCAAACAGA
rnacentral:misc_RNA from 1 species